GGGUCAAUGCUGAGACUUACAUUGUCUGUACAGAGGUGAUGAUUUAAAAAUCAUGCUCAAUAGGAUUACACUGAGGUCC
rnacentral:snoRNA from 1 species